rnacentral:rRNA from 1 species
GACGAACGCUGGCGGCGUGCUUAACACAUGCAAGUCGAACGGAAAGGCCCUGCUUUUGUGGGGUGCUCGAGUGGCGAACGGGUGAGUAACACGUGAGUAACCUGCCCUUGACUUUGGGAUAACUUCAGGAAACUGGGGCUAAUACCGGAUAGGAGCUCCUGCUGCAUGGUGGGGGUUGGAAAGUUUCGGCGGUUGGGGAUGGACUCGCGGCUUAUCAGCUUGUUGGUGGGGUAGUGGCUUACCAAGGCUUUGACGGGUAGCCGGCCUGAGAGGGUGACCGGCCACCUUGGGCCUGAGAUACGGCCCAGACUCCUACGUGGGGCAGCAGUGGGGAAUAUUGCACAAUGGGCGGGAGCCUGAUGCAGCAACGCCGCGUGCGGGAUGCCGGCCUUCGGGUUGUAAACCGCUUUCGCCUGUGACGAAGCGUGAGUGACGGUAAUGGGUAAAGAAGCACCGGCUAACUACGUG